GCUUUACUGUAGCUUGACAUUGGAUGCCGAUUGCGAUUGUGCAGGAUAGGUGGGAGGCUUUGAAACCGGGUCGUUAGGCCAGGUGGAGCCGACGGUGAGAUACCACUCUAUUGCAAUUGGCGUUCUAACCGAAUUCCGUAAUCCGGGUUUGGGACAGUGUCUGGUAGGCAGUUUGACUGGGGCGGUCGCCUCCUAAAGAGUAACGGAGGCGCCCAAAGGUUCCCUCAGGUUGGUUGGAAAUCAACCGUGGCGUGUAAAGGCGUAAGGGAGCUUGACUGCGAGACCUACAAGUCGAGCAGGGAGGAAACUCGGGCUUAGUGAUCCGACGGCUGCGAAUGGAAGUGCCGUCGCUCAACGGACAAAAGUUA
rnacentral:rRNA from 1 species